rnacentral:rRNA from 1 species
AGUAACGCGUGGGUAACUGCCUUGUACAGGGGGAUAACAGUUGGAAACGGCUGCUAAUACCGCAUAAGCGCACAGCAUCGCAUGAUGCAGUGUGAAAAACUCCGGUGGUAUAAGAUGGACCCGCGUUGGAUUAGCUAGUUGGUGAGGUAACGGCCCACCAAGGCGACGAUCCAUAGCCGACCUGAGAGGGUGACCGGCCACAUUGGGACUGAGACACGGCCCAA